rnacentral:rRNA from 1 species
GCACAAGCGGUGGAUGAUGUGGAUUAAUUCGAAGCAACGCGCAGAACCUUACCUGGGUUUGACAUGCUUGGAUGCUUGCCUGGAAACAGGUUAGGUUGCCUUCGGGUGAAACUUGCACAGGUGCUGCAUGGCUGUCGUCAGCUCGUGUCGUGAGAUGUCGGGUUAAGUCCUCUAACGAGCGAAACCCUUGCCGUUAGUUACCAACGGGUCAUGCCGGGAACUCUAACGGGACUGCCGGUGUUAAACCGGAGGAAGGUGGGGAUGACGUCAAGUCAUCAUGGCCUUUAUGCCCAGGGCAUCACACGUGCUACAAUGGCCGGUACAAAGCGACGCAAGACCGCGAGGUGGAGCCAAUCGCAAAAAACCGGCCCCAGUUCGGAUUGCAGGCUGGCAACUCGCCUGCAUGAAGUUGGAAUCGCUAGUAAUCGUGAAUCAGCUAUGUCACGGUGAAUGUGUUCCUGAGCCUU